GGCUACAGCCAUGCCACCCUGACCGUGCCUGAUCUCGUUUGAUCUCAGAAGCUAAGCAGGGUCGGUCCUGGUUAGAACUGGAUGGGAGACCACCUCGGAAUACCGGGUGCUGUAGGCG
rnacentral:rRNA from 1 species